rnacentral:rRNA from 1 species
AUGGGCAUGCAGGCUCUGAUGGAUGUCCGGUGCACGAAUCUAGUCAACCUUGUAUGCGACUGGCUUGGUGAGAUUUACGACCCCGCCUCCACGGAAUGUGUGAUUCCAGGACGUGGAAGACUGCCGUUGAACGAGGAAUCCAUGUUCUGCACUUUGGGUGAGCCCCAUGGAGAAAUCAAAGUCCCAUAUGAGGUCAAUAAUAAGAUCGAGGAAAUGUUGUUCCCCCGUUUGUUUCCUGGGUUGGAAUCCAUGCCGAACACGUCUUUCCUGGCAGAUUCGCUGCAGGCCAUGACAACCCAUGGCGAGGUUUUUAAGAUGAAACUACUCAUGUACCUCAUAUCAGCUGUUUUCGCGCCGACCACUUCUCUUUGCCCAAGCAACAAAUGCUUCCCCAUCCUGGCGAAACUGAAAGAUGUGAAGAACAUGAAUUGGUGUAAGUUCAUUGCCAACUUCCUACAUGAUGCAUUCUCAAGCAAGAUGUACCAAAAGGGUUGUUGA